rnacentral:rRNA from 1 species
UACGUAGGUGACAAGCGUUGUCCGGAUUUACUGGGCGUAAAGAGCGCGCAGGCGGUCGAUCAAGUCGAGUGUGAAAGCCCCCCGGCUCAACUGGGGAGGGGUCACGCGAUACUGAUCGACUCGAAGGCAGGAGAGGGUAGUGGAAUUCCCGGUGUAGUGGUGAAAUGCGUAGAUAUCGGGGAGGAACACCAGUGGCGAAGGGCGACAUCCUGGACCGGGUAUUGACGCUGAGGCGCGAAAGCCAGGGGAGCAAAGCGGGAGUUAGAAAACCCCCGA